rnacentral:misc_RNA from 1 species
GUUCAUGGCAGCUAGAAUGAAGGAUUCAAGGAAAAUACAAGCCGAUUGGAGAGCUGGUAUGGUAUGGUAUGAUCAUUACAUGUAAUUGGUAUUUAGUAUAGUUUUUUGGUUACUUGUUCUUGUAUAUAAAGGGAUUUUUUUUCCUUCUUUUUUUCUUUUUUUCCCUGUAAAGAAAGUAGAUGAAAAUGAAAAGAGAGUUUUGA